UUGACCAUUUGACCUCAAAUCAGGUAGGACUACCCGCUGAACUUAAGCAUAUCAAUAAGCGGAGGA
rnacentral:rRNA from 1 species